rnacentral:rRNA from 1 species
UACGGAGGGGGCUAGCGUUGUCCGGAUUUAUUGGGCGUAAAGAGCGUGUAGGCGGCCAGGUAGGUCCGCUGUGAAAACUCGAGGCUCAACCUCGAGAUGUCGGCGGAAACCAUCUGGCUAGAGUCCGGAAGAGGAGAGUGGAAUUCCUGGUGUAGCGGUGAAAUGCGCAGAUAUCAGGAAGAACACCCGUGGCGAAGGCGGCUCUCUGGGACGGUACUGACGCUGAGACGCGAAAGCGUGGGGAGCGAACAGG